rnacentral:other from 1 species
CAUACCCUGCAGUGUGCGUGAUACCGCCCCCACGUUUUGAGCCAAUACUCACUAAAAGGGUCCUUAACUUAAUAGUAACAACGCGAUAGGCCUGAGCCAAGGCGGCGUUGCUUGGUAGGGGCCCACCUGCAUCAGCAGGUUCAAAACCCAGCGGUACACGGCAUGUGCGGGGUUUGC